AUGCACAGUUUCUCGUUCUGGGAAACUGUUAAACACACUGGAAUUAUUUCGUAUCACAGAAACAAACACACACAAACAUUUUAUGAACUCUUAACCAGCAGGUAUGCCUGGGUCUUGGAUAAACUGAAAGCUGAGUGUGAGUAUGGUAUCACCGCUGAUGUCUCCCUGUGCAAAUUUGAGACCAGCAAGUAUUACGUGACUGUCAUUGAUGCCCUAGGACAUGAAGACUUCAUCAAAAACAUGAUUACAGGGACAUCUCAGGCUGACUGUGCUGUCCUGAUUGUUGCUGCUGGUGUUGGUCAAGGCAACGUUGCUGGUGACCGCAAAAACGACCCAACAAUGGAAGCAGCUGACUUCACUGCUCAGGUGAUUAUCCUGAACCAUCCAGGCCAAAUCAGUGCUGGCUAUGCUCCUGUACUGGAUUGCCACAUGGCUCAAAUUGCAUGCAAGUUUGCUGAGCUGAAGGAAAAGAUUGAUAGCACUUCUGGUAAAAAGCUGGAAGAUGGCCCUACUUUCUUGAAGUCUUGUGAUGCUGCCAUCGUUGAUAUGAUUCCUGGCAAGCCCAUGUGUAUUGAGAGCUUCUCAGUCUACCCACCUCUGGGUCGCUUUGCUGUUUGUGAUAUGAGACAGACAGUUGCUGUGGGUAUCAUCAAAGCAAUGGAGCUGGCAAGGUCACCACGUCUGCCCAGAAAGCUCAGAAGGCUAAAUGAAUAUUGUCCCUAAUACCUGUCACUCUAGUCUUAAUCAGUGGUGGAAGAACAGUCUCAGAACUGUUUGUUUCAAUUGGCCAUUUAAGUUUAAUAGUAAAUGACUGGUUAAUGAUAACAAUGCAUCAUAAAACCUUCAGAAGGAAAGGAGAAUGUUUUGUGGACCACUUUGGUUU